rnacentral:rRNA from 1 species
AGCAGCCGCGGUAAUUCCAGCUCCAAUAGCGUAUAUUAAAGUUGUUGCAGUUAAAAAGCUCGUAGUUGAAUUUCGGGGUUAGUAGGUUGGUCGUGCCAAUGGUAUGCACUGGCCUCACUGAUUCCUCCUUCUUGAUGAACCUUAAUGCCAUUAAUUUGGUGUUUUGGGGAAUCUGGACUGUUACUUUGAAAAAAUUAGAGUGUUUAAAGCAAGCUAACGCUUGAAUACAUUAGCAUGGAAUAAUGAAAUAGGACGUUCGGUCUUAUUUUGUUGGUUUCUAAGAUUGACGUAAUUGAUUAAUAGGGAUAGUUGGGGGCAUUAGUAUUCAAUUGUCAGAGGUGAAAUUCUUGGAUUUAUUGAAGACUAACUACUGCGAAAGCAUUUGCCAAGGAUGUUUUCAUUAAUCAAGAACGAAAGUUAGGGGAUCGAAGACGAUCAGAUACCGUCGUAGUCUUAACCAUAAACUAUGCCGACUAGGGAUCGGAUGAUGUUAAUUUUUUAAUGACUCA